GAUGAACGCUGGCGGCGUGCCUAAUACAUGCAAGUCGAGCGAACAGACGAGGAGCUUGCUCCUCUGACGUUAGCGGCGGACGGGUGAGUAACACGUGGAUAACCUACCUAUAAGACUGGGAUAACUUCGGGAAACCGGAGCUAAUACCGGAUAAUAUAUUGAACCGCAUGGUUCAAUAGUGAAAGACGGUUUUGCUGUCACUUAUAGAUGGAUCCGCGCCGCAUCAGCUAGUUGGUAAGGUAACGGCUUACCAAGGCAACGAUGCGUAGCCGACCUGAGAGGGUGAUAGGCCACACUGGAACUGAGACACGGUCCAGACUCCUACGGGAGGCAGCAGUAGGGAAUCUUCCGCAAUGGGCGAAAGCCUGACGGAGCAACGCCGCGUGAGUGAUGAAGGUCUUCGGAUCGUAAAACUCUGUUAUUAGGGAAGAACAAAUGUGUAAGUAACUAUGCACGUCUUGACGGUACCUAAUCAGAAAGCCACGGCUAACUACGUG
rnacentral:rRNA from 1 species